rnacentral:tRNA from 1 species
CCGACCUUAGCUCAGUUGGUAGAGCGGAGGACUGUAGUUAUCUUAACAGUAAAAUCCUUAGGUCGCUGGUUCGAAUCCGGCAGGUCGGA